CGCAAUGGGCGAAAGCCUGACGGAGCAAGACCGCGUGAGGGAGGAAGGCUCUUGGGUUGUAAACCUCUUUUUUUGGGGAAGAACAAAAUGACGGUACCCAAGGAAUCAGCAUCGGCUAACUCCGUGCCAGCAGCCGCGGUAAUACGGAGGAUGCAAGCGUUAUCCGGAAUUAUUGGGCGUAAAGCGUCCGCAGGUGGCACUUCAAGUUUGCUGUCAAAGACCGGGGCUUAACCCUGGAGAGGCAGUGGAAACUGAAGCGCUAGAGUGUUGUAGGGGUAGAGGGAAUUCCUGGUGUAGCGGUGAAAUGCGUAGAGAUCAGGAAGAACAUCGGUGGCGAAAACGCUUUACUGGACGACAACUGACACUCAGGGACGAAAGCUA
rnacentral:rRNA from 1 species